rnacentral:rRNA from 1 species
UCGAACGCUUUGUCUUUAACUGAUAUGAAGAGCUUGCUCUGAUUUGAUUUUAUCUGACAAAGAGUGGCGAACGGGUGAGUAACACGUGGGUAACCUACCUCUUAGCAGGGGAUAACAUUUGGAAACAAGUGCUAAUACCGUAUAAUACCAACAACCGCAUGGUUGUUGGUUGAAAGAUGGUUCUGCUAUCACUAAGAGAUGGACCCGCGGUGCAUUAGCUAGUUGGUAAGGUAACGGCUUACCAAGGCAAUGAUGCAUAGCCGAGUUGAGAGACUGAUCGGCCACAAUGGGACUGAGACACGGCCCAUACUCCUACGGGAGGCAGCAGUAGGGAAUCUUCCACAAUGGGCGCAAGCCUGAUGGAGCAACGCCGCGUGUGUGAUGAAGGGUUUCGGCUCGUAAAACACUGUUAUAAGAGAAGAACGGCACUGAGAGUAACUGUUCAGUGUGUGACGGUAUCUUACCAGAAAGGAACGGCUAAAUACGUGCCAGCAGCCGCGGUAAUACGUAUGUUCCAAGCGUUAUCCGGAUUUAUUGGGCGUAAAGCGAGCGCAGACGGUUAUUUAAGUCUGAAGUGAAAGCCCUCAGCUCAACUGAGGAAUGGCUUUGGAAACUGGAUGACUUGAGUGCAGUAGAGGAAAGUGGAACUCCAUGUGUAGCGGUGAAAUGCGUAGAUAUAUGGAAGAACACCAGUGGCGAAGGCGGCUUUCUGGACUGUAACUGACGUUGAGGCUCGAAAGUGUGGGUAGCAAACAGGAUUAGAUACCCUGGUAGUCCACACCGUAAACGAUGAGUGCUAG